ACCUCUCAAACCCCACCCCGUAGCUUGAGAUCUGUUGCUGCGGUUCUGUCCAGUACGGCUCUGAAGCAGCUAACCUCAGUGAUUAAGCCGAGAAGGAGACCAGACAGAGGAUGAUUAAGUGGCUUGCCAAAAAUUCACCCUACAGAGCAGAACAGCAAACUGAACAGCAGUGGGAGGAGUGAAGUAGGAGUGGUGAACAGAUGGUUCUUGGCACAUCGAUGGCAUUUGUCCAUCUGAAGAGGAAUGUGAAAUUUCUGGUACUGUCAUGAGCUUUUCCAUGCACUUAAGUCCUGAGGCAAAACCCACUGAAGACUUCCUAACAUCAAUGGGCUUUGGAUCUAAUCCAUAGACAGCUAGUUUCUUUUGGAAAAUAUUGAAUGAAAUAUUUGAAGCCUCAAGAUAUAUUCACAACAUAUUUCAAUCAAAAAUCUUAGUCUCAGAUUAUUCUGAGACUGAAACUGUGAGAAUACUCAUGACAAGGAUGACUACGUACUUGUUGUAAUGUGUUGCACUUGUUACUUCAGUCAACAGUCACUGAAAAUGGGACAACAGGCAAAAUGGACCCUUGGAAUGACCCAACAAAUCAACACUUCUAAAACUUAGCAAAGAAAAGAUCUACCUCGAAAAUAAAUUGAUAAGUAAUGCUGAACAAUCACUCUUAAGGACAAUAUUUUCUGAUUUGUUCUCUACCU